UACGGAGGGUGCGAGCGUGUCCGGAUUUAUUGGGUUUAAAGGGUGCGUAGGUGGCCCUGUAAGUCAGUGGUGAAAUACAGCCGCUUAACGGUUGAGGUGCCAUUGAUACUGCAGGGCUUGAAACAAGUGGAGGCUGCCGGAAUGGAUGGUGUAGCGGUGAAAUGCAUAGAUAUCAUCCAGAACACCGAUUGCGAAGGCAGGUGGCUACGUUUGAUUUGACACUGAGGCACGAAAGCAUGGGGAGCAAACAGG
rnacentral:rRNA from 1 species